GACGAACGCUGGCGGCGUGCUUAACACAUGCAAGUCGAACGCUGAAGGCCCAGCUUGCUGGGUUGGAUGAGUGGCGAACGGGUGAGUAACACGUGAGUAACCUGCCCCCUUCUUUGGGAUAACGGUCGGAAACGGCUGCUAAUACCGGGUAUUCACUGUCCUUCGCAUGGGGGGUGGUGGAAAGGUUUUUUCUGGUGGGGGAUGGGCUCGCGGCCUAUCAGCUUGUUGGUGGGGUGAUGGCUUACCAAGGCUUUGACGGGUAACCGGCCUGAGAGGGUGACCGGUCACAUUGGGACUGAGAUACGGCCCAGACUCCUACGGGAGGCAGCAGUGGGGAAUAUUGCACAAUGGGCGAAAGCCUGAUGCAGCGACGCCGCGUGAGGGAUGGAGGCCUUCGGGUUGUAAACCUCUUUCGCUCAUGGUCAAGCCGCAACUUGGGUUGUGGUGAGGGUAGUGGGUAAAGAUGCACCGGCUAACUACGUGCUAGCAGCCGCGGUAAUACGUAUGUGCGAGUGUUGUCCGGAAUCAUUGAGCGUAAAGGGCAUUAGGCGUUUUGUCACGUCUGCCGUGAAAUCAUCUGGCUAACUGGGGGGGGCAGGGGUACCCUCUUAUUUGAGGGUCGGGGGUAACUGGGACUUGGGGUGUCUCGUUUCACGUCCC
rnacentral:rRNA from 1 species